GGUAAAACCAUACCCCACUUCUCAAGGGAGAUCGUACAACUUCCGGUCCCGGAAGGGAGGAAACUGUUUGAUCUUCCAUCAGCAAGAACAUGGCAGAACCCAGUGUGUCCCCUGGGAGUUCCUCAGAGACUCAACUGUGUUCACAACCAGUCAGUGAGGCCACUGAUGAAGACCUAACUACAGGCCGGCUGGUGGUGCCCACAUGCACCCCCAAUGUCUGUGUGGUAAGUGCUCUGAGAAGGUGCUCCCUGACCUACCAACCUGAGGCCAGAGCAAAGCUGGGGACCUGGGUGCUUUGGGCCUUCCAGAUCUUGGAGAAAGUGUGGCUCCCUGAAAGGACUGCUCACAUCUCUCCUUCUUGCCAUUGGUCUUCCAACACAAUGCAGCAUAGGAGAAGGAAAGAAUGUUUGGCCUGUCCACCACAUCUCUUUCAUCAACCCCACUACUCUCAAAAAGGACCUUUU
rnacentral:sRNA from 1 species